GACGAACGCUGGCGGCGUGCUUAACACAUGCAAGUCGAACGGAAAGGCCCUGCUUUUGUGGGGUGCUCGAGUGGCGAACGGGUGAGUAACACGUGGGUAACCUGCCCUUGACUUUGGGAUAACUUCAGGAAACUGGGGCUAAUACCGGAUAGGAGCUCCUGCUGCAUGGUGGGGGUUGGAAAGUUUCGGCGGUUGGGGAUGGACUCGCGGCUUAUCAGCUUGUUGGUGGGGUAGUGGCUUACCAAGGCUUUGACGGGUAGCCGGCCUGAGAGGGUGACCGGCCACAUUGGGACUGGGGUACGGCCCAGACUCCUACGGGGGGCAGCAGUGGGGAAUAUUGCACAAUGGGCGGAAGCCUGAUGCAGCAACGCCGCGUGCGGGAUGACGGCCUUCGGGUUGUAAACCGCUUUCGCCUGUGACGAAGCGUGAGUGACGGUAAUGGGUAAAGAAGCACCGGCUAACUACGUG
rnacentral:rRNA from 1 species